CCCUUUUGUUCAUAGAGAUGUGGAUUCAUUUGAGCAUAAAAGGCAAAUAUUGCAGUAACAAUAUCCACAGCAAUAAAGAGUACUUGUAUUGAGUAUUAAUAUUAUUAUGAUUAUAUAGUGAUUUGAUGCAGGUUGAUGGUCAAGUGUACAAAGUCAUUUUUCUGGAAAAAGCAACCAUCACUGAGUGCAAUAUAAAAAUUAAGCAAUAUUCCAGUGACAUGUAUCACAAGAGAUAUCUGUUGAAGAGGGCUUGGAUUGGUUUAUUGGCCUUUCUCACCUUCAAGUGAUUUGCAACCUGUCAUGGAGAAAGUUUUUGGAUAUUUUACAUGUAUAUAAAAAAAUAAUAAUUGUAAUAGAUGCUUUCUCUGCAGAGUAACUAAUAAAAGAUGAUGCUUUGGGGCCUAUGUUUGGGGCUUAUUCUGCUUAAUGGAGCUGUAAUAAUAUCAUAUUCAACAAUUUAAUAAAUUAAAAAUUCAAUAUUAAUUUUAAUAAUAAAUUUCAUAAUUUUAUUACAAUAAAU